rnacentral:rRNA from 1 species
CAGCAGCCGCGGUAAUACGUAGGUGGCAAGCGUUGUCCGGAAUUAUUGGGCGUAAAGCGAGCGCAGACGGUUACUUAAGCAGGAUGUGAAAUCCCCGGGCUCAAUCUGGGAACUGCGUUCUGAACUGGGUGACUAGAGUGUGUCAGAGGGAGGUAGAAUUCCACGUGUAGCAGUGAAAUGCGUAGAGAUGUGGAGGAAUACCGAUGGCGAAGGCAGCCCCCUGGGCCAAUACUGACGCUCAUGCACGAAAGCGUGGGGAGCAAACAGGAUUAGAUACCCGGGUAGUCCCUGUCUCUUAUAU